AGAUCAAUGUUCAAUGCGUUCACUUUCUUGUAUGUUUGUCCAACUGUAAAGUUGGUCCAAGUUAGUCUCUGUUUCAUUACUGUAUCAUGGGACUUUUAAAAAUUUCUUGACUUCUCCUUGAUUACACAUUUUCAAAGAUUCUAUAGCCUUUUUAUAUUCAAAAAAAAAAGGUAACCAUAAUCACACAUUUGGAAAGCUCUGGAAUUGUUUGCUUGUCUCUGGUCCUUAUUACUAAGAAUCUUGAUAAUGCUGUGCUGCCACUGAAAAAUCACAAUAUGCUAUAACUAUUCCCAUUGUGAGCUAGUAAAUUACCAAUUAUUUUCCCUUAAUCCAGAACAGGAUUUUGUUAUUAUCUGUCAAUCACUUUAAGUAAGAAUAGAGAUUACAUAUCAAGAUUAUCUACUAGCUGAAAUACUUGGUAAAAGAGCACAAGAUAGUAAGAAUGAGAUCACUUGUAUGUGCCUAGUUUGUGAUGAGGGAGGGAAUGGGGUUGGCAAAAGAAUAACAAAAAUAGCUUUGCUCUUUGUCUUUCAGUUAAUGGAUCCCAGCCAGAUGAACUUUUCAGGUACCUGUGGAGAGAUUCAAGUGCAAUCGCUGAUUUUCUGGCAAAGUGUGGUUGGCCAUGCCCCUACCUCAUGUAGCCAGAAGCCAUCUUAGAGAAGAGGACUCAGGACAUCAAGUAUUUACCUCAAGGUACUGUUUUGACUAUUGCUCCAAGCCAAAUUAAUCGAUUGGACUGAAAUAUCGUUUUUCCCUGCGACCCAUCAGAUAGAGUGUCAUGAAUGAUUGGAUUAUAGAUUUGAUUGUAUUUCUCAAUUA
rnacentral:lncRNA from 1 species